rnacentral:ncRNA from 1 species
GUGUUUUAUGAAAGGAGAGAAGGUUAGCACUCCCCUUGACAAGGAUGGAAGAGGCCCUUGUGCCUGUACAACACACAUAUGGUUAAGGCAUUGCCACUUAGUGGCAUCUAAUCACUGUUUUUU